AUGUAUACCGAGAGUAAAUUUCAAACUCUUUCCUAUAUUUUUCGCAGACUUUUAUCUUUUUCCAAACAGAGGUAUGGCGCAUCGAUAUCAUUAAAACUUAACCAUCGCCGUGUUUCGGCUUAACCACGGUGAUGGUUAAGUUUGAUCGAUAUCGGUGCGCCAUAUCUAUUUGGAAAAGUCUGAAAUUUGUUAGAUUUAAAAUUCUAUACGAUAAAAUUAUUUGGGUUAGCAUCUCGGCCUUUAAAAGUAAAGAAAAUGAAGAUUUACCAUUUCCAUAUACGUAUCGCGUCAGUUAUAAAAUAUUUGGCAAUUUCUCUGAUGCCAUAAAUAUACUGUACACUUAAAUUCCUUCGAUUUGUGAUCGAGGAAAUUCAAACCGAUGGUUUGAAGAGGCUCUCGGUAAAUUCGCUUCUUUCCGUUUGUCCCGCUAAUGUCAUUCUCGUCCUAAGCAGUUACGAAAGUUUCCAUUCCGAUCCGUACCAAAGUCGUAACAAUGUUUACAAAGAUUUGCCAGGUUUUCUUAUUCUUGGGCCGGUUAACCGCCUCUUCGUACUCUCUUAACAGAGGAAGCCAAUGACUUCGAAUGACUGAUACAGCGCUUUCGAAAGAUGUAGCGAGCCACAGUCGAUUAUCGAAGAUAGUCGCUUAUACUACCCUCGUUCUAGCCAAGUUAAUCGGGAUAAAAGUAACUCAGAUUCAGUUAACCGGCAACACGGUAAUCGGAAUAAUUUCGGUGUUCGUACCAGGCUAAGUUAAACGAGAUUAACGGGUGGAUCGGUUUGAUAUAGUCGGGAAAACUUUUUCGGAUAUGGAGAUCGAAUGUCAGAAUUUGGAUUCGUUAUCUUAUUAAAGUGGAGCGAUCGUUCCCGGUCUGGUAAUUCCUGAAAAGUUUUUUCGGGGUGCUGGGCCCGGCCCGGCCAUUCCCGUCCUUCGUCAUCCGGCCCCCCUUCCGCGGGUGUGGGUGGGGCCCGUGGUCGGAGCUGGCCCCACUCCUUAGUAAUCUCCGAUUGGAAAAGGGCGUAAAAUAUGCAAAAAAAAAAACUCCAAUGGUAAUA
rnacentral:lncRNA from 1 species